CGGACCGUGCGGCCCCGGGAGGCCGAGUUGGGCCCCGGGAGGGACGGUCGCCUGAAGUGAGUGUGUCCCGUAGGCCCGGAGCCGGCUUCUCGGGAACUGGGGCCUGGUAGGGGGAGAGGAGGGGACCCCGGGAGGGAAACGCCCCGGAGGAGCAGCCCCCGGCCCGGGCCUCGGGAGCCUGGGGCGGAUGAGCGAGUCCCGGCGGGGUAGGGGGUGGGCGUGCGCCCUCGAGGCGGUUUUCGAUCUUCCCGCCCGCAGUGAGCAGGGCUCGGGGGAACUGGCCCUGGCCGAUGACGCGAGAGUGUGCGACAGGGAGGGUCGAGCGCUCCCGGAAACGCGCGUGGCUGUGCUGGAGGGCAGGGGCGCUCUGCUCUCGGGUGGACCCUGCACUGGGACUCGUGAGUUCAAGGUUUUCUGGGGCUGUAGGGCCACAGGCUCCGCUACGGACAUGCGGUGUCCACUCCUCCCUGCACAGCCCAACACGCCUUCCUCCUUCUCCUGCCCUCUCCUGAUUCCAAAUGUGUCUCUAAAGGUCCACCAGCACCUUUGUGCUCUGAUCGCAGUGUGCAGUGAUUCCCCCUCAGUUCUGCCCUUGUGGAAUCACACCAUGCCGUGUGGGGUAACUCUGCCGGGUUCUGUCCUGCAGCCUCGGUUGACAGAGGAGGAGAUUGGGCCUGAGAGGGGAGGAGAGUUGUCCAAGGUCACCGGGUCUGUAGGUGGGAUUGUGAAAAGGACUCAACUCCUCGGCCAAGUGUUCUGUCUUCUGUAUUAAAUUUAAACCAAAGUACAUUUCUUAAGGAAAGAUCCUUUUGAGCAGCAGGCUGCAGUUUGUAGAAAUAAUUUAAAGGCUGAGCCAUACCUGAAUGUCUCCAAUUACUCAGAACAUCUUGUGGAUUUCGUGAUCUUAAGUAGUUAAAAGAGUUAGUAAGAAAAUUGAUGACUAUAAUAGAGUUUCCUUUAUCUUCUAUUUAAUGAUGGACGAUUAUUUCAAUAGGAUUUGAUGUUCACUCUGUAAUGAGAAGUAUAUCCUCUCUCUCACCACAUAAUCGUGUGGAGUUCUGCGUGUACAAGUGGGUGCUUCCUCCUUAAUCUGCCAUCCAGUCACUUCUGAAGGCUUAAAGGGACCGUCUCCCAUAAGUAUCUUUCAUGGAACUUUCUGGGUCUGCCUCUGCUUUCACAGUCCUCCACGUUUUUCCAAGAGCAGCAGAGAAUGAAUACAUCUUUGAGGAAAGCCAUGUGAGGACACAGCAAGAAGAUGGCUGUUUGCAAGCCAAGAAAGUGACUCCCACCAGGAACCUAAUCUGCCCCCACCUUGAUCUUGGACUUUCCAGUCCCCAGACUGUGAGAAAAUAAAUGUGUGUUGUUGAAGCUCCCCAUCUGUGGAUUUAGUUAUGGCUUAACCACUAUGCCAUGGGGCUGGCCCCUAGGGCUUCCUAAAUACAUUUCAGUUCCUAGGUGUCUCAUAAGCUGUAUCUGUUUCCAAGCUGCUUCCAUCAGACUGUUACUCCUCUCUGUUUUCUGGUUGUUUCCGUGUCUGCUGAAUAUAGUUUCUCUGCUACCCGUAGCCCAUCAACCAUGUCCCACUCCUGAGUGCGUCCAUCACCCGGAGCUGUUGCCAUUAGCUGUUGAUGUCCCCAUAGCACUUUCGGCCUUGGUGGUUUCACUCUCUCCAUUUGCUCUGUGAUCGUCAAUGGAUCUCAUUUACAAGAACUGCACCCCGACUCUUGGCACACAGACGUGUUUUCUAUGGCUUUUCUUCACUCGGUUACUCACAUGUAAUUAGCUACUCCUAUCUCGUAAAUUUCUCACAUCUCUUGAGGUAUUACAGUUGCCUGUGAGAACCCCAUUA